rnacentral:rRNA from 1 species
GACGAACGCUGGCGGCGUGCUUAACACAUGCAAGUCGAACGGGAUUUAGUAAACGGAAGCCUCGGUGGAAGAUUACUAAUGAGAGUGGCGAACGGGUGAGUAACGCGUGAGCAACCUGCCUAUGACAGUGGGAUAGCCUCGGGAAACCGGGAUUAAUACCGCAUAAAAUCGUAGAAACACAUGUUUCAACGGUCAAAGAUUUAUCGGUCAUAGAUGGGCUCGCGUCUGAUUAGCUAGUUGGUGAGAUAACAGCCCACCAAGGCGACGAUCAGUAGCCGGUCUGAGAGGAUGAACGGCCACAUUGGAACUGGGACACGGUCCAAACGCCUACGGGAGGCAGCAGUGGGGAAUAUUGCACAAUGGGGGAAACCCUGAUGCAGCGACGCCGCGUGAACGAAGAAGGUAUUCGUAUCGUAAAGUUCUGUCCUAUGGGAAGAUAAUGACAGUACCAUAGAAGAAAGCUCCGGCUAAAUACGU